UCUUUUUUGGAGCUUAAGUGGGUUGGUGGGGAGUGACAUGUGCCAGGAGCCUGGGCCAGUGUCCUUUGUAGUCAACUCUCUAUGCUUUAUAGCUGACCUGCAGGAUAAGUUAUAGAGGAUGUCUAAUACAGUUCUGCCCCAGCUCUUCCAGUGUCUUGGUUUGCGGCUUGACAGGAAGUGUAAGGAAUUAAUAUCCAUCUUCUCUUUAACAGCCUCUCACUGCAGGAAAUGCCUUGUGGGAAGAGAAGGGACAGCAUUGAGAUAUAAACUCUACUAUCAGAUAUAGGAGAAUGUGUG